GUGAAUUUCAAAUAUUCCAGUAAAUUGGGGAGUAGAAAUUGCUCGUGAAGGUACCAAUAAAUGAUUUGCUGAAAAUCACAAUUCUUGGUGGUUAGUUUGUCUCUGUAGCUGACCUGACCUAAUAUGAUGUGAAGAUGGACGGUGAAAGGAAGACUAAAUUGGUGGGUGUUGUUUGUCAAUUUGGUUCUAUCAUAUCUUUUAAAAAUAUAUUAAAUCCUAUGGGCAUGGUAGG
rnacentral:misc_RNA from 1 species